GACGGGUGAGUAACGCGUGAGAAUUUACCUUUAGGAAGGGAAUAACAAUUAGAAAUGAUUGCUAAUGCCCCAUAUGCUUUAUUAAGUGAAAAGGAUUAUGUCCGCCUGAAGAGAAGCUCGCGUCUGAUUAGCUAGUUGGUGAGGUAAGAGCUUACCAAGGCGACGAUCAGUAGCUGGUUUGAGAGGAUGAUCAGUCACACUGGAACUGAGACACGGUCCAGACUCC
rnacentral:rRNA from 1 species